GACGAACGCUGGCGGCGUGCCUAAUACAUGCAAAUCGAACGCUUCUUUCCUCCCGAGUGCUUGCACUCAAUUGGAAAGAGGAGUGGCGGACGGGUGAGUAACACGUGGGUAACCUACCCAUCAGAGGGGGAUAACACUUGGAAACAGGUGCUAAUACCGCAUAACAGUUUAUGCCGCAUGGCAUAAGAGUGAAAGGCGCUUUCGGGUGUCGCUGAUGGAUGGACCCGCGGUGCAUUAGCUAGUUGGUGAGGUAACGGCUCACCAAGGCCACGAUGCAUAGCCGACCUGAGAGGGUGAUCGGCCACACUGGGACUGAGACACGGCCCAGACUCCUACGGGAGGCAGCAGUAGGGAAUCUUCGGCAAUGGACGAAAGUCUGACCGAGCAACGCCGCGUGAGUGAAGAAGGUUUUCGGAUCGUAAAACUCUGUUGUUAGAGAAGAACAAGGACGUUAGUAACUGAACGUCCCCUGACGGUAUCUAACCAGAAAGCCACGGCUAACUACGU
rnacentral:rRNA from 1 species